rnacentral:lncRNA from 1 species
AUGGUGGAUCAAACACCCUUUUAUGGUCGAGCACGGCGGGACGAACUUCCUUUCGAAUUUUUUUUUCUGUAUUUUAGGCUUGCUGAUGUGCCCCUACUACGCAAGCCUAAAAUUAGUUAUUUCCACCAAUAAAUAAAUGGCUUUUCAAAACCUGGAUAUGAUCAUUUUUUUCCAUAGAUGUUCCAAUACUGUUUGCAAGGCUUGCUGGCAAGAUGUUUUGUAGAGAUUGUAGGAAAAAUGUAUUUCGUGAAUUUAAGGAUCUAAAAGAACUUGAGUGCAUGAGAAGAGAAUCGCAUUGUACAAGCUGGUUUUGUGUAGCUGAUACAAGCUUCCAAUAUGAGGAUUCCAGGCUUCUUUGCAGGUGACUCUUGACACAAUCUAGACGGGUUGGCAACAAAACUAUGUUGACUUAGCAGGAACACACAGGCAUUAUGAAUGGGCUGUUCAUGGCAGACUUGUGGUUUAUCAUGAUGAUGAUUCCUUGGAAAAGGAUGGGCUUGAAUUAGAUGGAGAAUGUUUCCGUCCCCAAAAACAUGCAAAGAGUCCUAGAACUUGCCUGGUUGAAAAGGUUUCAGAGAAGGGACUGCACGUCAAAUCUUCUUUGACUAAAAUUUGAAAUGUUGUUUCGUCACUUGGCUAGUGAAGUAGGCAAUCUUGAGCGGCCGUUUCUAAGAGAAUUUUUUUUCUCGCUGUGUGGGUUUUAACGGUUGCCAUGUUUUAAGGAUGGGAUUUUCAAAUAACAAACGAAAAAACCUGGUUGAAUUAGCAGCUUUGCGUGGGUGUACAACCACACCAGAUUCAAAUCCCACUUUUCCUGGUUCAAAACCUGAUUUUUGUGAAACGAGAAGCUGAUGUUGGGUGGCCCGGAAUGAUGAGUAUACGGGUUCAUGAAAUUGUACUUUGAUGGAAUGGAAUGUAUGAUCAUCAUGUUCUACCUAUGGCAGGAGAAACAUGGCAGCUUUUAGAAAUACAGUGCCAUUAAGCAUUUCUAUCUUUUGAAAGAAGUUUUGACAAGCUGUAUUACUAAAUUUUUUGAGAGAAAUUUGAUAAUGGUCAAAUACAUAGUUUAAAAGAUGCUCUUUUGGGACUUCAUUAAGCAUUUCUAUGUUUUGAGAGAAGUUUUGCCAAGCUGUACUACUAAAUGUUAG